CUCAACCCAAGAUAAAGACAGCAAAGAAGGCAAACUUGAAAUUCCAUCACAUUUCCUCUCUUCCAUAUCCAGGGACAUUCAGAGCUCAAUACACAGAUGGUACGUCUCAUAAAGAAUAACAUUAUCUGUUCAACAUUUUUCCUUUCCAUUAACCAAUUUAACAAUAUGCCUCUGGUACAAAAGGAAUAGACAAAUGACGAAAUCUACUGAUAUUCAAGUUCUGACUGUGAAAAACACCACUUGAGUCAUACUGCUUGUUUUCUUUUUAAAUUUCCAUCUGUGCAUUACUUCACCUUUGCUUUUAAGAUGCAAUUGGAGCUGACGCUUGGUCCCUCUUUUAGGGAAUUUGUCCCUGCCAGCCUCCCCUCUGCAGGGGAUUCAUCAUCAUUCUAAUGGGAGUUCCCCUGCCAUCGGUCAAGGACAGCAGAGGUGACAUAUAAGGGUUUUGUAGACACGAGGCAUGCCACUCUAGUAUUAGGACACUCUUUCAGCAACAUAUGUCUAGGCCUCCUCUGUGCCAGCCCUGUGGGAAAGCAGAGCCCCCACCAUGGCCCCUGGCUCCUUCCUAGGGCCUAGCUGCCAUCAGCCUGAUGUGCAGCAGCCUCUGCAGCGGUGCUGACACCAGUUUACAAGGCCUUUAGAAACCACUAGGCAUUCUCCAUCUAUGAAAAAUAAAACCCAGAUUCUAGCUGUAAACAGUUUUAGGCGGUGCCCAUUCUAUUCAGAGGAACCUAGAUUCAGACUAAUUGUAUGGACGAAAACCUGUUCCUUUGGCUCCUGCCUUUCCUUCCUUUCAUUCAAAGCCUACAGAUCUCUU
rnacentral:lncRNA from 1 species